rnacentral:rRNA from 1 species
AGAGUUUGAUCCUGGCUCAGGAUGAACGCUAGCGGGAGGCUUAAUACAUGCAAGUCGAGGGGUAACAGGGGACUUCGGUCCUGCUGACGACCGGCGAACGGGUGAGUUACGCGUACGCAACUUGCCUUCAAGCGGAGGAUAGCCCCGGGAAACUGGGAUUAAUACUCCAUAGUAUCAUAGAAUCGCAUGGUUUUAUGAUUAAAGAUCCGUUGCUUGAAGAUAGGCGUGCGUGCUAUUAGCUAGUUGGUAAGGUAGUGGCUUACCAAGGCGACGAUAGCUAGGGGGCGUGAGAGCGUGGCCCCCCACACGGGUACUGAGACACGGACCCGACUCCUACGGGAGGCAGCAGUAAGGAAUAUUGGACAAUGGGCGCAAGCCUGAUCCAGCUAUCCCGCGUGCAGGAUGACGGCCCUAUGGGUUGUAAACUGCUUUUAUACAGGAAGAAACGCUCCCAUUAAUGGGAGCCUGACGGUACUGUACGAAUAAGCACCGGCUAACUCCGUGCCAGCAGCCGCGGUAAUACGGAGGGUGCCAGCGUUAUCCGGAAUCACUGGGUUUAAAGGGUGCGUAGGCGGCGCUAUAAGUCAGAGGUGAAAGGCCACCGCUCAACGGUGGGACUGCCUUUGAUACUGUAGUGCUUGAAUCAGGUUGAGGUAGGCGGAAUGUGACAUGUAGCGGU